GGUGAUGAAUGUAGUUCCUAUCGACUCACCAGAUACGCUUCCAAUUAUAUAUGAACGUGGUUUGUUUGGAAUCUACCAUGACUGGUGUGAAUCAUUCAGCACUUACCCUCGAACUUACGACCUCCUUCAUGCUGAUCAUCUUUUCUCUUCACUCAAGAAGAGGUAUGUAUAUAUACAGUACACUCACAUAUCUCUGUGGCCUUUUUGAUAUUUAUGAUUGCAAAAUCUGAUGACUAUAUGGUAUAAACAAAACCUUUUUAGGUGCAACUUGGCUUCGGUAAUGGCUGAAGUGGACCGGAUUCUUAGACCACAAGGAACAUUCAUAGUAAGAGAUGACAGCGAAACGAUAGGAGAAAUUGAGAAGAUGGUGAAAUCUCUGAAAUGGGAUGUAAGAAUGACACAAUCCAAAGAUGGAGAAGGAGUGCUCGCUGUUCAGAAGUCAUGGUGGCGUCCUACAGAGGUCGAGACCAUUACAUCGGCAAUAGCAAAGGCAGGAGAGAUUUAAAAUAGUUUUAUGAGUAAGUUGUUUCUUUUAUGAUCACGUUGAUUGUUUACUUGUAUUAUUAGUCCAAUAUUUGUAUCUUUUUUUUUGCAUUGCCGAAAAUUUUAUACAAAGACAAUUGUCUCAAUAGUGUAAGCUUUUAUGAGUUUUUGAAUUGGUCCUAAACACCCAUGAAAUCUUUAUUAUAAAUACUGCAGCAAACUUAUAUAUCCUGUAUAUUUGAACUAUAGAUAUGAUGAGUCCAUGUAUUAUGCAUCACUUAUUCCGGAUUCUCAAAGCUUGACUUUAAUCCCAACAGAUGUGGACUUCCCUUUGGCCUUUAUAACCGUUCAUUCAAACAGAGAAUCGAAGUGGACUUCCCUUUGGCCUUUAUAACCGUUCAUUUAAACAGAGAAUCGAGCUAAUACUUCAUGAUCUCUGCAUAGGGAACCAGACCUAUUAAACAAACUCACAGGCAAAGCUGACCCUAUUAAUUAGCCUUUCAAAUCUUUCUAGCAAUUAUUCUACUCCAGUACCUAUUUGGGUUAGACUUUGUAUCCAACCCAAAUACUCAAAUAGUUAUACUUAGAUUAUGAUAUAGAUAUGGUUCAAAGUUAUUUCACUAUUUUUUUUUUUUUUUUUUUUUUUUUUUUUUUUUCAACCUGUUGAACUCUCUUUUCAUCAGUCAGAAUUUGCGACUCAGCCCAAAGCUUUGAUUCCGUAUCAGCCAGUUUAAGGGUAUCUAGCGGAUCUACAUCCAUAUUACUAAAGACUUUAUUAUUUAUUCCCUUCCAAAUAUACCAUAGUAUCCAUGCAAACUGAUAAUCCUCCAUCUGUGGAAGCACUCUCCAAAAAAGAUGAUCCAUGUUCACAAAAAGGGAACUUGUCGGAAACAUAUUUGGAUUUGUUGGAAUCUUUGAAAGAGCCCAUGUCUGAAGUGCAGGAGGGCAUUCAAAAAACACAUGGUUGAUUGAUUCCUCCUCUGCACCACAUCUUGCACAAACAAUGUCUCCGGGUAUCCCUCGCUUAUGCAGAUUUUUCUUGACUGCUAUACACCCUGUCAUCAAUUGCCAUAGGAAAUGUUUAAUCUUUGGUGGACACCGUAUUUUUCAGCAAUGUGCCUUCAAAAUAUCCACCGUAGGUCCAAACACUACUGGUGGUUUUUCCCUAUCUGGAUAUAUCCUUUCCACCUGAUAUCCAGAUUUAACCGUGUAUUUUCCAUUAUUUGUGAAAUGCCAUCCAUCUUUGUCUGCCAUCCGAGUCCUACUCAAAGGUAUACUCUCUAUUAAUUUCACAUCCUGUGGGUCCACCAAAGCCCGAAUCGUCUGCGAAUUCCAUCUUUAUUUGAAGAAUUGGUUUAUUUUGUCGAUUACUUUCAUUUGGUUGCUAUAUUUUACCAAAAAAAAUAUACUCUUUGUUAAAUGUCUAAGCUAUUUCUUUGGAAAGCUCCUGCUAAGAUGAUUUUCAUUUCUAAUGCAAACAUAAAAUAUAUAAUUAUAAAUUUACAUAAAUAAUAUUUCUAAGUAGAAAGAGAAAUUUGCAUGAUAACUAGUAAAACGAGGGCAGUACAUGGUAAUUAUGGGAAAAAAAUUAAUAAAUCAAAAUAUAUAGAAUAAGAUGAAUGGAAUUAGUUUAAAAAUGGAAUAUUUUCAUUCUAUUUAUUCAUAAUCAAAAUUGUAGAGGAAUGUUUAGAAAUGUUUUUCUUCUUUUUUUUGGAAAUGCUAAUGUGGUUGAAGGAAUGAGUAUUUCAUUCUAUUUAUGUCAAAUGGUAAAAACAAUUAUGUAAUUAAUAGAAUUAAUCAUUCCACAUCAUUAUAUUUAAAAAAAAAAAAUUAGUUGCAGCUUUGGUAAAAAUUAAAAGAUAUAUAAUAGAAAUUAUAAUGUUGUAUGAAGUAUACUUGUUGAAAAAUACAAAAUUGAAACAGGAAAAUUAUUUCACAAGCGUAAUUGAAACUUUUGAAAUAAAGAUAAACUAAAAAUUAAGAAAAUAAAGAUAAAAGAUUUUUUUUAAAACCUUCAUGCUGAUCAUCUUUUCUCUUCGCUCAAGAAGAGGUAUGUAUAUAUACAGUACACUCACAUAUCUCUGUGGCCUUUUUGAUAUUUAUGAUUGCAAAAUCUGAUGACUAUAUGGUAUAAACAAAACCUUUUUAGGUGCAACUUGGUGUCGGUAAUGGCUGAAAUGGACCGGAUUCUUAGACCACAAGGAACAUUCA
rnacentral:lncRNA from 1 species